rnacentral:rRNA from 1 species
AUCGGACUAAGUACGAGUCGAAGCUACUUCGUUUUAGAAUCGUUACGGAGGGAAAGAACGGAAGUGACCUGGAGCGGGACGGACGGGUAGAGUAACCGCGUGGGACCAACCUUACCUACAUACGGAGGGGGUAACUAACGUAGUUAAGAAAGUGACUGCUAACGUACCGCAUAAGCGCGGUACCGCAUGGUACAGCGGUAAAAACUCCGGUGGUAUGAGAUGGGCCCGCGUCUGAUUAGCUAGUUGGUGAGGUAACGGCCCACCAAGGCGACGAUCAGUAGCCGACCUGAGAGGGUGACCGGCCACAUUGGGACUGAGACACGGCCCAAACUCCUACGGGAGGCAGCAGUGGGAAAUAUUGCACAAUGGGGGAAACCCUGAUGCAGCGACGCCGCGUGAGCGAUGAAGUAUUUCGGUAUGUAAAGCUCUAUCAGCAGGGAAGAAGAUGACGGUACCUGACUAAGAAGCCCCGGCUAACUACGUG